rnacentral:rRNA from 1 species
AACGAACGCUGGCGGCAUGCUUAACACAUGCAAGUCGAACGAGACCUUCGGGUCUAGUGGCGCACGGGUGCGUAACGCGUGGGAAUCUGCCCUUAGGUACGGAAUAACUCAGAGAAAUUUGUGCUAAUACCGUAUGAUGUCGAAAGACCAAAGAUUGUAUCGUUAUAAGAUGAGCUUCUGUAGGAUUAGGUAGUUGGUGUGGUAAUGGCAUACCAAGCCAAAGAUCCUUAACUGGUCUGAGAGGAUGUACAGUCACACUGGGACUGAAAUAAGGCCCAGACUUCCAUGGAAGGCUGCAGUAGGGAAUUCUGGACAAUGGGCGAAAGCUUGAUCCGGUGAUAUCAGAUGAGUGAAGAAGGUGAAGACUGUAAAACUUGAUUAUUAAGGAGGAUAAUGACGUUACUUAAUAAGGAAGCCCCGGCUAAGCUUGUGCCAGCAGCCGCGGUAA